rnacentral:rRNA from 1 species
UGGGGAAUAUUGGGCAAUGGGCGCAAGCCUGACCCAGCAACGCCGCGUGAGGGAAGAAGGUUUUCGGAUUGUAAACCUCUGUCGCAAGGGACGAAGAAGUGACGGUACCUUGUGAGGAAGCCCCGGCUAACUACGUGCCAGCAGCCGCGGUAAUACGUAGGGGGCGAGCGUUGUCCGGAAUUACUGGGCGUAAAGGGUGCGUAGGCGGCUUUUUAAGUUGGAUGUGAAAUACCCGGGCUUAACUUGGGGGGUGCAUUCAAAACUGGAGAGCUAGAGUUCAGGAGAGGGAAGCGGAAUUCCUAGUGUAGCGGUGAAAUGCGUAGAUAUUAGGAGGAACACCAGUGGCGAAGGCGGCUUUCUGGACUGACACUGACGCUGAGGCACGAAAGCGUGGGGAGCAAACAGG